rnacentral:lncRNA from 1 species
GAGUGUCUUUUUUGUCAUUUUCAACCUAAAAAAACAUAUAUUGAGUUCAAAACAAGAUAUACAAUAAAUAAAACCACGUUAUAAUCAUAGAAAACCGUUAUCUAGAUAUUUUAUUAAUUCCUAAUUUGAAUUUGGAUAUUUUUUAAGGUUAAAAACUGUCUCUUCUACAAUAAUUUUCCCAAAUUAAUAUAAUCCCAGAUAUUUUAUAAUUCAGAAGACUGAAAGAAAAGCUGGGAUCAGUUUUGGACUAUGUGCUCAAAGAUAAAUUCGAUAUUUGGCUUUAAUUCAUUUGUACAAAAUUCGGAUUAACCGGUGUAAUAUUUACUCCAAUUACAAAAUGUUGGUUAUGAAUUAUCCAUGAAGGAACUGCAUCCUCGGCCAGGAUUUCUUAUAAUUUCAUUCUCGUGUAAGUUUCAUUUGGAGGAUAAAAAAACCUGACUAUAUCUGUGAACUUAACUCCUAUGAAAGUUUCUCUAGCCUCUCUUUUUGCAUACUUAGACCACUCGUGUCAAAUUAUAGCCCUUAGAUCUCAGAGACAUAUUCCUGCUGAUGAAAAAUGUAAGUAUUAUUAUUAUUAUGUCAAUACUGAUCUGUGUAUAUAUGUUUCCAGUUCUAUAUAUGUUGUCCUUAUAUAUUAUCUGUCCAUAUUUAUAUUAAUUCUCUUGUUGCUACCUGCAUAACGUGUAUGUAUAUACAUAAUAAAUCUUUUGUUUGAUUUCAUUAAAAGAAAUCUCAGUACGAAAAAUUAUUCUCCCGAUAUCUAAUUAUAUUAUUACAAUUCAAUAAUGUUAUGAGCCCUUUGUCUGUAGAUAGGAUGUCCAUCGCACCCCUUAAAGGAUCUAAAUACCCCACGUGGAAAAUUCAGUGCCGCAUGGCGUUGAUGAAGGAGAAUCUUUGGAAAAUUGUUAAAGAAGAAGAAAUGGAGCCUAAGAUAACGAAUGCGAAUUUGACUGAACAUGUUGCAAUUAGAAUUAGUAAAGACGAAGCCCUUGCUAUUAUAGUAUCAGCAAUAGACACAAAACCUACUAUACUUAGUCGGUGAAGCAACGGAUACCUCUGUGGAUUUGAGUCAAUUUCAAAAGCAAACUUUGGCAAACAAACUAGAAUUACGGAAGAAGCUGGUUGGUUGUCAGUUGAAAGACGGUGAGAGUUUCAAGGUCAUGUCAAGAAGAUGACUGAAAUAUUUGAUUGAACUUGCUGUAAUCAGGAGCAAGGUCGAUGAGGAGGACACGGUUGUGUAUCUGUUAGCGAGUCUUUCUAAAUAUUUUAAUAUGCUUGUGACGGCAUUGGAGGAUAAUCUUGAGAUACCUAAAUGGGAAAUAGAUCCUGACCACAGAGAGGAAGCUUGAAGAGAAUACUUCAAGAAAACCUGAAAAGGGUUUAGCCUCUGGGAGCAGACGUUUGCUUAAACGUUUUUGUUGUGGCAAACCUGGUCACAAGAAAAGGAAUUGUUAUGAAAUAAAAAAGUAUACGGAUCAGUUCCCCCAUGGGUUGAAGAAAGGCCAUAAAAUAAAAAAAAGUGGCAACGUGUAAAAGCUCUUAAUCAGAAAAUUUCGAACUUACAAUAAAGCAAUUUGCCUUGUUAGACAAAUUAAUUUCAAUGGAGUGGAUUAUUGAUUCAGGUGCAACGAGUCAUAUGUGUCACGAUAAAAGUGUGUUUAAAGAGAUAAAAACAAUGAAGGAAGGGUCAAUGAAGAUCACACUUGGAGAUGACAGUACGUUAAUAGUCAUUGGCAAUGUUAAUAUUACGACAGAUACAUUGGAUAUACCAGGCACAUUUCAUGAUGUAUUAUAUGUACCAGAAUUAUCGUUCCACCUUUUAAUUAUUUCAAAAGUAUUUUAAGUACUUCAAUUUCCUUCAAAUGAUCUCAAUGUUUUAUAUAUAAGUCAGACUAAGUAGAUAAACAAUGCAUCAGGAGUAAUGGUCUAUAUUAUUUUGUAUGUAGAAAAAUGAAAGAAAGAGUUAAUAUGUCCAAAGGGACCGAUUAUGAAAAGUGGCAUCGAUGCCUUGGACACAUAGGCGUAUCUGGAAUCCAAGAAAUAGGUCAAAAAAACUAAAGGUAUUGGUUCUAUAGAAAUUCUAUCCCAUCAUUUGUAUGAACCUUGUAUUGAGGGUAAACUUAGUAAGAGACCGUUUCCACACCAAAUAAUGAGAAGAGCUAAAAAAAUUCAAGAAUUAAUCCAUUCAGAUUUAUCUGGACAUACACAGACAGCUUGUCUGAGUGGACAUCAUUACUUUAUUACCUUCAUCGAUGACAAAUCGAGACAUACUUAGGUAUAUAUUCUGAAGAAUAAAAAUAAAGCCUUAAUCAAAUGCAAGAACUGGAAAGUCAUGGUGGAGAAAGAAACUGGAAAAAGGGAGAAAUGUUUACGUUCUGAUAAUGGAGGAGAGUACAUAUCUAAAGAAUUUAUUGAAUAUUUGGUAAGUGAAGCCAUCAAAAUAGAACUCGUUUUAACGAGGAAUCCCGUGCAGAUUGGUGUAUCAGAACGAAUAAAUAGAACAUUAAUAGAAUCAGUGCGUGCAUUGCUAUCUGAUAGUGGUUUAGCCAUAAAAUUCUGGGCUGAAUUAGUGAAAACUGCUGUUUAUAUUCAUAAUCGAUGUACUACUAAAACAGUUGAAGAGAAGGCUCCUUAUAAAGUUUGAAACGGUAAAAAGCCUGAUUUGGCACGUCUUAGAAGAAUUGGAUGUUGUAGUCAUGUUUUUAUACCUAGAGAGAGUAGUCAAAAUCUGGACUACAAGAGUAAAAGAAUGGUAUUAUUGGGAUAUGAAGAACAAAUGAAAGGUUAUAAAUUAUAUGAACCUGUUAGUGGAAAAAUUAUUUUUUGUAGAGAUGUUAUUUUUGAUGAAAAUGUCAUAGGUUUAAAUGAAAAUGAGAACUCAAAUAAUGAAGCAAAUUCAGAGGACGAUAACGGUUAUCGUUUUCCUCAUAAGAUUGAGGGUAGUGUGCAAUAACUCAGAAGAUCUACAAGAGAAAAGAAACAACCUGAACGCUUUGGAGAAAAAGCAUAUAUGUUACACAAAGAUCCAAAGUCAUUUGAAGAGGCUGCUGGAGAUGGGCUUCAAUUACAUCACCUUGAUGUGAAAACUGCCUUUGUUAAUGUUGAAAUAGCUGAAAACGUGUAUGUUGAACAACCUGAAGGUCUUCAGUGAACCUUUAAAUGAAAAAUUGGUAUGUAAAUUGAAGAAAAGUUUGUAUUGAUUAAAGAAAGCCACUAGAUAUUGGAAUUUUACAUUAGGUCAACAUUUAAAACAAAUCGGGUUUGAGAAGAGAAAAGAAAAUCCAUGUUUGUUUACUAACGAUGAAUGAGUAUUUGUUGCAGUGUAUGUAGAUGAUAUUUUACUGAUUGUUUCUGAAGACAAAUUAAUUGAAAUCAACUCAACCACUUAUGGUAGAAAAGGUUAACGUAUCUAAUCAAGCAUGUGUGUACUGGAUUAUACAAAUAAGUAGGGCUUCUAAUAAUAAAAAGAUCAACUCAUUCUAGAACUCCGAGUCACUAAGGAAACAUAAUACAGAUUUACACGAAAACGUGAAAAUUCUUCAAUCGGAAAAUAGAUUAUUAAAAUCCAAAUCUACUUUUAAGGAAACGACGAAAGGAGAACUUGAAAAGAGGUUCACUAAACCUCAAUGUAAACUCAUUAUGAGUUAGAAGAGUUUUGGAAAAUGGAAUGAGGAGGAUAUCGUUAAGGGACUGAUACUGAAGUCUCUUUCCUUAAAAACCUACUGUUACAUUCAAUCCAGCGGUCUACUUCCGAUUCCUUGUGUAAUAACCAUCAAACUUUAAUUCCAAAAUUUAAACAAAAGGUCCUGGAAUAAAAUCAAAUAUUACUAAAAUUAUUGCUCAACAAAUCAAAUACAAAGAAACUUCAAAUGGUAAUUUGGCUGUUUAGUGCUUUGAUGAGAUGGAUACAAAUAAAAAGCUUCAUACUACAUUCUAUACCAAAGAAUUUAUGAUCCUAAGAAAAAUAUACAGGUACUAUUUUGAGUGAAGCAGAUUCAGAAGAAAACAACAUAGAAUUUUCCCGAAACUUUAAUGAUAGAAUUUAUACUCAUAUUUUUCAAGAUGAAAUUGAGGAAGGUAUAAAUAAUGAUGAAAAUACAAUAGAACAAUCAUUUAAUGAUUUACAUCUUCCUAAAAAUCUGUGAACAGGAAGGAUUUAUUUAUGUUUCUGGAUAUGUGGCUAAAUCCUUAUAUCAAAAAUAUCACACUUUGGUGUAAAAUAUCUGGUGUAAUACUUCCAGCAUCCAAGUUCCUCCAAGUCUAUGGUUUAAAAAGACAUUGUCAAGAGGGGACUGCCUCAGCCAUUAGAAUCUUUUUCGAAAUUUUGCAAAAAAAGGAAUAACACUUUAUUAAAUUUUCAUUGGAAUUUUUUUAUACUGAACGGAUCGACUCAUUGUAACAGUAUCCAAAGGAAGGAUAGGAAGUUAUAAAAAAAUUUAUUCGUAAUUGUACAUUCAUUAGACAUUAGUAAUUAAUAUUAUCGACAAAAGUACCAUAAAAAGAAAAUAGCCAGUAAUGUGAGAAAAACUGAUCAUUUCUUUAGUUAAAGAAUAGAUACGGAAAACAUGUAUAUAUAUUUUUUUUUGUGUCUCAUUAUUUAAUUUUAAACAAUAAACUUUCGAAAUGUGAGUGCCUUUAUUCUAGCUAAGUCUAAUAUUUUGUCGAAUCAUUCCUCAGAAAUUGGAUGGCCAACAUUUUUUUCGAAAUAAAAAAGGAUCUUCUUCGGCAUUUAACAUAGCUUUUAAUGCUAUUUCGAACGAAGUUUUCUUCUUCUGUCAAAUCCACAAAGAGUAAAUAUGGGAAAUGUUUCACUGAAGAUGAAUCGGUUCUAUCCAAUAAAUUUUUUGUUCUUCUAAAAGGGAUUCCAUGCCAUUAAUUUCGUAGUUAAUACAAAUCACAAAAAGGAAAGCCAUCGGACCUGAAUGGAUUAUUUUAUUUAUUUGAAUAACAAAUAUAUUUUAAGGACAAACAUAUACUUCAAUGAAACAUGGAAAAAUUCAACCACCUGAGGACACCAUUAAAUACUAAAAUAUCACGUUGAAAUUUUUCAUGCAAUAUUUUUGAGCCAAAUCCCACCCAUUCUAAGAGUUAAAGUUCAACUACUCCAUAAUUUAUUUACUUACAAGCCACCCUAAUAUACAGUCAUUAGGAAAAGGAAAAUUCAACAAUUUAAAAUAAAUAAUAUAUUAUGUUUAUUGUGUAUAAUUAACUUUUACCAUGAGGAUAGGCCACCACAGUUGCAAAAGUCUUAGAACAAGCUCCACAUACCAUAAAGCCAGCAAAAUCAGCUAAUGACUUUUUAUUAUCCGUCCUACUAUGGGUUUGACGAGAUAAACACUUAGUUUUUAGAUA